rnacentral:rRNA from 1 species
AGGAUCAUUAAUGAAAUUAUAAUCCGGCGAGGGAAAGGCGGGGAGUUGUAGCUGGCCCUAGGGCAUGCGCACGCUCUCUUCUGGACUUUCGCCGUAUGGGCGCGGGGCGACCCGCGUCUUCAUAUACCUCUUCGUGUAGAAAGUCUUUGAAUGUUAUUAUCAUCAUCGAGUCGCGACUUCUAGGAGACGCGAUUCUUUGAGACAAAAGUUAUUACAACUUUCAGCAACGGAUCUCUUGGCUCUCGCAUCGAUGAAGAACGCAGCGAAUCGCGAUAUGUAAUGUGAAUUGCAGAUCUACAGUGAAUCAUCGAAUCUUUGAACGCACCUUGCGCUCCUCGGUGUUCCGAGGAGCAUGCCUGUUUGAGUGUCAGUAAAUUCUCAACCCCUCUCGAUUUGCUUCGACAGGGUGCUUGGAUGUUGGGGGCUGCCGGAGACACUGGACUCGUCCAGGACUCGGGCUCCUCUUAAAUGAAUCGGCUUGCGGUCGACUUUCGACUUUGCAUGACAAGGCCUUUGGCGUGAUAAUGAUCGCCGUUCGCCGAAGUGCAAGACAGAACGGUCCCGUGCCUCUAAUGCGUCGACGCCUCUCGGGGCCGUCUUCCUCAUUGACGUUUGACCUCAAAUCAGGUAGGACUACCCGCUGAACUUAAGCAUAU